rnacentral:rRNA from 1 species
UACGAAGGGGGCUAGCGUUGUUCGGAAUUACUGGGCGUAAAGCGUAUGCAGGCGGAUCUUUAAGUCAGGGGUGAAAUCCCGAGGCUCAACCUCGGAACUGCCUUUGAUACUGGAGAUCUUGAGUCCGGGAGAGGUUAGUGGAACUGCGAGUGUAGAGGUGAAAUUCGUAGAUAUUCGCAAGAACACCAGUGGCGAAGGCGGCUAACUGGCCCGGUACUGACGCUGAGAUACGAAAGCGUGGGGAGCAAACAGG